GAAGCCUACUGUCCACUGGUCAAAGGGCUGAUGAACCUUCGCAAUUAUUAGUGAAAUCCAUGUCCAGAAGACUUUGAGGGGACUAUGAGGUGGAGAUGUGGUUGCAAAUGUUGUUAAAUGAUCAGAACACAUGUGGGAGAGCAGAGAGCUGUCCAGCCAAGGAGGACAUGAGACAUGCAUGGAAAGCAGGGAGAUGAGAUGGAUUUGAAAACCAUAACCUG